GACGAACCGUGCGAACGUUGUUCGGAAUCACUGGGCUUAAAGGGCGCGUAGGCGGGCUAUCAAGUCCGGGGUGAAAUCCUCCAGCUUAACUGGAGAACGGCCUCGGAUACUGAUGGUCUCGAGGAGGAUAGGGGCACACGGAACUGUGGGUGGAGCGGUGAAAUGCGUUGAUAUCCAUAGGAACUCCGGUGGCGAGAGCGGUGUGCUGGAUCCUUUCUGACGCUGAGGCGCGAAAGCCAGGGGAGCAAACGGG
rnacentral:rRNA from 1 species